ensembl:miRNA MIR138-2 microRNA 138-2
GGUGUGUGUGCUGCAGCUGGUGUUGUGAAUCAGGCCGAUGUCACACGUCCGCGAUAACCCGGCUAUUUCACAACACCAGGGUGGCACCACACC